UCCCAUAUGGUCUAGUGGUUAGGAUUUGGCGCUUUCACCGCCAAGGACCGGGUUCAAUUCCAGGUGUGGGAA
rnacentral:tRNA from 1 species